ensembl:lncRNA
GAGUGAGAGAGAGAGAGAGACACAGACAGAGUUUCAGAAACCACAUCGUCAACAACCUUGUCCCCUGAGAAGUCCUGUUUUUGCCCACAGACCUAAUUGUUCACCUGGGAAGACUAUGUGGUAUAAUUUUAGCUGUGGGUCAGUGUGUUUAGUUUAAAGGCCAGCACAUAUACGCGCACACACACACACACACACACACACACACACACACACACACACACCAGAACGGGAAGAAGCAUGUAUCCUGAAACGGCCCUCUACGUAGCCAACUACAUACUCAGUAGGCCACGUCUGGAACUCUACCAACCCCUCUACGUUAGCCGCUACCGUUUGCCCGAUCUGCCCAGUUUCCAGACCCCUCACCAGGGUAAAGGCGGGUACUGGUCCAGUCCUCAGCGGUACCGCCCGAGUGGCAGCACAUGGCAGAACCUACGACGGCACGUCCUCGUAGUGCCGGGCAACACGGGCUUCUCCGACAUCACGUCCACUAAAACGGCAGGCAGCUGUGGACUGCGCCACACGCUAGUGUGGAAAUAUCGCUGGCUUAAACUGAAGGAACUGACAAAGAGCUACAGACCCGGCAUGGCGGCGAGGUCCGUCUACAGGCCUUGAGUUUAGGAUCUCCUGCGAGGGAGGACUUUCCCGUCAUCGGUUCUCCGACCAAAGCUGAGCGAUGAAGGCAUCACUAUACGAUCUGACCGUGUAAUCCAAACACGGACGUGAAUUUAAAUCGCAGGACUAACGGUCGUAUUGUAUUCUGCCUUAAGUAAAGAAACUUUUGGAAUUAAAAAAAAAAAAUAAAUAAAUAAAAAAAGUUACCCGAUUGGAUGUGAGUCAUGUUAGAGCGGAAUAAAAAGUGAAUAAAGUGAGCGAAUGACGAGUACGAUCUCCACAUUCCAGAACAUCGUCUCACUGUGCCCAGGAGAUAGAGAGAGAGAGAGAGCGCGAGAGAGAGAG